rnacentral:lncRNA from 1 species
GCACAACUGGGCAGUGAGAAAUGAGAGCAGAAGAUCGAUGGACACAUGGCUUUGAGCAAAACUACCAGGUUUAACUGCUUUCUCUUCUGGAGGGAGAAAUUGCAAGAACAAGAAGAAAUCAAUUCAGGAAACAGCCACUAAGGACAGAAAGCAGAAUUCUUUUACCUCUUGCAGGAGGAUAUUGGCAUAAAGCUUCUCUACUGCUGUGAUGAUUGUAGCUGUGAGGCAUGAGUAUUAC